ACACGUCUACAUUAGAUACCCCGGUAGUCCCAGCCGUAAACUAUGCGCGUUAGGUGUAUCGGUGACCACGAGUUACCGAGGUGCCGAAGGGAAACCGUGAAACGUGCCGCCUGGGAAGUACGGUCGCAAGGCUGAAACUUAAAGGAAUUGGCGGGGAGCACCACAACAGGUGGAGCCUGCGGUUUAAUUGGACUCAACGCCGGGAAGCUCACCGGAUAGGACAGCAGAAUGAUUGCCGGGCUGAAGACCCUGCAUGACUAGCUG
rnacentral:rRNA from 1 species